rnacentral:lncRNA from 1 species
ACCGGUUGAGUUUUUUUUCUUUUUUUUGGGUUCAUUUCUUCGGUUCUGUUUAUUAUUUUUAUAUAAUAAUAAUAGGUUUGCCAAUACAUAUUUUAUGCUGAUAUAAUAAUAUAUAUAUUACACACAUAUUAAGCAUAUAUAAAUGAAAAUUAUAGGCUUAGCUUUAUAAUUAAGCUUUGUCUAUAAUAAAAUGAAUAGGCCACAUCAAAAAUUAAAUAGAUAUGUAAAAAGCUUUAUAUAUAGUUUUAUAAGUACAAAAUUCGUAAUACAUAUAUACAUAGAGUUUUUUCUCCCAAUGUCUAAAACUGAUACAAAUGAUCAUCGUUAUUUGGAAUAAGAGUUUCGUUGCCGUUGAUGUGAAACUCGCCGUUUGGAUUGAUCACUUGCUCGUGAAGAAAUCCUGCUAUCGUCUCUUGAAUAGCUUUGAUUCGGUCUUUUUGCAUGACCUUUUUUCUCAACCAUUCCGUCUUUCAUUUGAAAUAAAUAAAAAAGGUAUUAGUUAUCUAAGUUAUUCAAUAUAAUUCAGGAGAUAAUGAAAAGAGACAUGUAACGUACUCUGAGCGUCUGUGUGGGUGUUUGAUUGACUUGUGCCAUCAUAAAUUUGCACACGUAAUAGGUUGUUCCCCUUUUUGUCUUAAACACCACUGUAUGAUAUAUAUAUAUAAAAUAUUCACUACCACGACAAUAAGAAGGCUA